CUUGAGUCUGAGUUUGCAAAGUGAAAGUUUCCUGGAGAUGGAAAAACACAAGAGCUGCCUCAGAUGAGCAAAAUUUGGGAACAAAUGGAAAAGUCUGUGGAUCCAUAGUUUCUGCUAUAACAAACAAAGCUUUUAUGUUUAUAUUGCACUUCCACGUCAGAAGAACCUGUGGAAGAAUCCAGGAAAAUGCCUAGUGUCAAUGUGAGGAAAGUACAUGGAUGGCAGCAGACUACCAGGACAUGAAAAGAAUAGCUCCUUCCUGACUUACUCUCUCUUGGAUCAAUUACUGUGAUGGAAACCAGCUGCCAUGUCAGGAGUACACUCAGCUGGCCUAAUGGGAGGCCCACACAGAGAGGCACUGAGGUCGCCAAUCAAUAACCAACACCAAUACAGCGCAGGAAAGAACAUCGCUUUCCUCAUGAACAGGUGCAAAUACUGCUGACAUUUAGAACACUCCUCAAAGACCAUAAGCCAGUGUCCCAACUAGGGACUUGAAGAUGAGUCUACAGAGAUGACCAGAGCGGUGCUGGGUGAACUUCAUUUUCCUUUCCUAGUCAAGAAGGCUUAAGUAAUAGUAUGAGGAAAUACCUGAAGACCCAAACCCUGGUAGAAAAGACACUGCUGUCAUGGCAACAUUCUAAGUAUAUUUUUA